rnacentral:rRNA from 1 species
GUCGAGCGAGGUUACUGUUUCGGAUCCCUUCGGGGUGAAGAAGCUUUAACCUAGCGGCGGACGGGUGAGUAACGCGUGGGUAACCUACCCCAAAGUCCGGGAUAACAGCGGGAAACCGCUGCUAAUACCGGAUGCCUUUACCUUGGGGCAUCUUGAGGUAAAGAAAGGUAACGCUUUGGGAUGGGCCCGCGUCCCAUUAGCUAGUUGGUGAGGUAACGGCUCACCAAGGCGACGAUGGGUAGCCGGCCUGAGAGGGUGGACGGCCACACUGGGACUGAGACACGGCCCAGACUCCUACGGGAGGCAGCAGUAGGGAAUAUUGCGCAAUGGACGGAAGUCUGACGCAGCGACGCCGCGUGAGCGAUGAAGGUCUUCGGAUCGUAAAGCUCUGUCCUUGGGGAAGAAGGCGAAAGCUUGACGGUACCCAAGAAGAAAGCCCCGGCUAACUACGUGCCAGCAGCCGCGGUAAUACGUAGGGGGCGAGCGUUGUCCGGAAUUACUGGGCGUAAAGGGUGCGUAGGCGGCCCUUUAAGUCGGAUGUGAAAGCCCGCGGCUUAACCGCGGAAUGGCAUUCGAAACUGGAGGGCUUGAGUGUCGGAGAGGGUAGUGGAAUUCCCAGUGUAGCGGUGAA